UACGUAGGGGGCUAGCGUUGUCCGGAAUUAUUGGGCGUAAAGGGCUCGUAGGCGGUUUGUCGCGUCGGGAGUGAAAACACGGGGCUUAACUCCGUGCCUGCUUCCGAUACGGGCAGACUAGAGGUAUGCAGGGGAGAAUGGAAUUCCUGGUGUAGCGGUGAAAUGCGCAGAUAUCAGGAGGAACACCGGUGGCGAAGGCGGGUCUCUGGGCCGUAACUGACGCUGAGGAGCGAAAGCGUGGGGAGCGAACAGG
rnacentral:rRNA from 1 species